rnacentral:rRNA from 1 species
ACGAACGCUGGCGGCGUGCUUAACACAUGCAAGUCGAACGGUGAUGCUCCAGCUUGCUGGAGUGGAUCAGUGGCGAACGGGUGAGUAACACGUGAGCAACCUGCCCCAGACUCUGGAAUAAGCGCUGGAAACGGCGUCUAAUACUGGAUACGAAACUGGCCCGCAUGGGCAUGGUUUGGAAAGUUUUUCGGUUUGGGAUGGGCUCGCGGCCUAUCAGCUUGUUGGUGAGGUAAUGGCUCACCAAGGCGACGACGGGUAGCCGGCCUGAGAGGGCGACCGGCCACACUGGGACUGAGACACGGACCAGACUCCUACGGGAGGCAGCAGUGGGGAAUAUUGCACAAUGGGCGAAAGCCUGAUGCAGCGACGCCGCGUGAGGGAUGACGGCCUUCGGGUUGUAAACCUCUUUCAGCAGGGAAGAAGCGAAAGUGACGGUACCUGCAGAAGAAGCACCGGCUAACUACGUG